CGCUGGGAAGCUUAACCGGGGGAAGCGUUAGCCUUUUAAGCUAAAGAAUGGUGGCUCCCAACCACCCCUAGCGA
rnacentral:tRNA from 1 species